rnacentral:ncRNA from 1 species
CGCCGUGAGACGGAAUCUGAAGGAAGCCGGAGGCAAACAUCUGGUCUGACGGAUAGAAACCCGAUACAAGGCCUUUGGAUGAGGAUGAGACUGCAAUAGAAGUCAAAGUCCUAUAGCUAUCCGAAUUAUCCAAGGUAAAUUACUCCGUU